CUUGCCAACAGCAUCUGGACGAGUCACUUUGAUCCUCUUCUGGGCAUGGGAAUACCUGUCUGCAGAUUAAAUGGCCUCCACACUGUGUACGGGGCUUACAUUUGUUACAACAGUGUUGCCUAUCCUGCGCACAACCAUUAUCCCGUCGUCGGAAAACGCGUGCUCUUCAUACCCACGGGGCUGGGCGUAGGUAUGCGAGCCCAAUGGCCCUGUGUGACCAAUGGCAACACGUACAAUAACAUGCUCGUGCACAAAAUAAACGAACAUUUUUCUCUCACAAAUUAUCAGAGGACGCCACUUAUUGCAUGAGGUAUAUAGCGACAUUUGGAUCAUGCUAUUCCUGUAAUGAAUGCUGAAAAAAAGUUGUCGCAAUUACGCGCCCUCUGGGAAUCGAUGUUAUACGAAGCAGUAUGCGGAGAGCUUACCAAGUUAACGAAACGACAAUGAGAGCACCAGGACGUAGGCGGCUGUUUCAUGAUCUACAUGACACGCAUGUCAUGACAUUGAUGACAUGACCUAUCAUUUAGGUCCGGAACCAUUUCAGUGGUUUUUGAGUGUUAAUCAUUUUUCGCUGAGUCAUGCUUACGAAUGACUUCUCCUAUCAUCCUUUAGCGUUUCCUUCACUUAGUGCCCACGUCUGAACCCAUUGCAGUGGUUUUUGAGUGGUAAUCUUUUCUGGGUGAGUCAUGGUGAUUUUUGUUGAGUAAUGCUCAUGACCAUGACUUCUACCAUCAUCAUUUAGUGUUUCCUUCACUUAGUACCCAUGUCCGAACUCAUUCGAGUUACAUACCAAGUUAUUCAAACGACUAUAUUCCAAUUCUUGUACCAGGAUUUGUCUGUUUAUAUGCAGAACAUGUGCACUUUACAGAACUACGGUACCCCCAAAUGAAUAAUGGGUUGAUAAACAUCGUCUUUCAUUUUUUU